AAAUAAAUUAUUUAUGGUUUUUUAAUUUAUUAUUUAUUUAUUUUACAUAUAAAUUUUAGUAGUUAUAUUUAUUUAAAUAAUAAAUAUAAAUUAUUAGUUAAAAUUUAUGUAGUAAUUAGCAUUAAAAAUUUAAGAAAUUAAGAUUUAGUAAUAUAAAAAUUUAUAACAAAUUUUGUGCCAGCAGUUGCGGUUAUACAAAAAUUUAAUUAAAUUUUAUUAAUAAUAAGAAAUAUGUAAAUUUAUUUAUAAAUAUUAAAAUAUAAAGUGAAAUUUUUAUUUUAAUUAAAUAAAUUAUUUUUAUGUUUUAGUAAAUUUUAAUAAUAAACUAGGAUUAGAUACCCUAUUAUUUAAAAUUUAAAUUAUAAAGUAUUAAAAUAGUAAAUAAAAAUAUUAUUGAAACUUAAAUAAUUUGGCGGUAUUUUAGUUUAUUUAGAGGAAUCUGUUUAUUAAUUGAUAAUCCACGAAUAAAUUUACUUAAUUUAUUAUUUUGUAUAUCGUUGUUAAAAAAAUAUUUUUUAAUAAAAUUAAUAUUUAAAAAUUAAUAAAUAAAAUAAAAUCAGAUCAAGAUGCAGAUUAUAAUUAAGAUAUAAAAUGGAUUACAAUAAAUUUAUUUAAAUUGGAUUUAUAUUUGAAAAAAUUAAUUGAAAUUGGAUUUAAAUGUAAUUUUAUUUAGUUUAAUAAAAUGAUUUAUAUUUAAAAUAUGUACAUAUUGCCCGUCGCUUUCAUAAAUAAAUUGAAAUAAGUCGUAACAAAGUAGAAGUACUGGAAAGUGUUUCUAGAAAGA
rnacentral:ncRNA from 1 species